UGCUGCAUGUUUUUAAUUAGCAACUGAA
rnacentral:piRNA from 1 species